AUUGAACGCUGGCGGCAGGCCUAACACAUGCAAGUCGAACGAGUGGCGGACGGGUGAGUAAUGUCUGGGAACCUGCCUGAUGGAGGGGGAUAACUACUGGAAAUGGUAGCUAAUCCCGCAUACCAUCGGAUGUGCCCAGAGGGCAUUAGCUAGUAGGGGGGGUAAAGGCUCACCUAGGCGCCGAUCCCUAGCGGGUCUGAGAGGUUGACCGGCGACCCUGGAACUGAGACACGGUCCAGGCUCCUACGGGAGGCAGCAGGGGGGAAUAGUGCACAAUGGGCGCAAGCCUGAGACAGCCAUGCCGCGUGUAUGAUGAAGGCCUUCGGGUUGUAAAGUACUUUCAGCGUGGAGGGGUUACCCGCAGAAGAAGCACCGGCUAACUCCGUGCCAGCAGCCGCGGUAAUUC
rnacentral:rRNA from 1 species